rnacentral:misc_RNA from 1 species
GGGCAUUGAUUUUAUGUCUACUUCUUCAUAAUAUAGUACUGGGUAUUAUGACUGUUGGUUGUAUUCGUAGGUCGUUGAUUUUGUUAUCUUUUAAAUCUGGGUUUUCGCCACUUUGUAGAUAAUUUUGUUUGUGUGUUCAACUUCUUGUUUUCAUGCUGAUUUACCUAGAUUUUUUUUUUUAUCCAACGAGAUGUUAUUAAUAAUUUGUCGCUUCUUGUUGCUAAGCUUUUAGAGUGGCUAAUGUGAGCUUUCUGUGUCAUGGCAAUCCUAGGUUUGGUUGCUAAGAAGUGCUUCAGAAAAGAGAGAUUCAAAAUAUGGAGUUUAAGGCUUUUAUUAGAUUGGUUUAGAGAAAAGGCAUCAUUAAUCUAACUGGUGGUUUUAAGACGUCUCAAACAAAAAUAAGGAUGAUAUGCUAGAAAUGAUGCAAAUUAAAAUAUCUAAGUUAACUAAGCUACCACAUCAACAUUCAAAGAAACUAUGAUAAUAAGUGUGGGGAAGUAUGACAAUAUCUAAUAAUAAUUCAUCAUUAUGUAGGGUACUAUUUUCUAGAAUUUAUUGCUCUAUCAGCAGCUUUCCUUGAAGGAGAUGACUUAUUCCAUAAAGAGUACUUCAGGCUUAAGGGAUAAGUGCUUGAAAGCUAUUUGCCAGUUGGGUGAUUGUAAACUUCUUGCAAAGUCAUUAUGGUAUAUUUACAAAUUUCAGACCUUGAAGCACUUCACAAGGAUAUCGCCUCCUUAGAUUGCUUAUAAGACUACUUUUUCUUAUCCUGAAAGGAAGUUGAUCACGAAUUUCAGGCUUUAGUUAUUUAAGUUUGUGUCUCUGAUUUUCAGCCAUGUGAGGCUUGGAUAACUUUUGCGAGGUGAUUAUAAAGUACAAGCUUUUACGUAUUCACCAUUGAACUACUCCACAAGUAAUUACCGUUUAUGGAGAGGUUAUAAAAAGGGCUUAAUCCUGAGUUGUCUUAUCUAAUGGCAUUGUAGUCUGGGAUCUAAGAUUCAUCUUGUUCUUAAAUGUGAUGCCUAAAUUCUUUGUUAGUGAUUCCUAGGAACCUACUAAGUUCCUGCAUCCCAAAUUGUAGGUCAUAAUUUAUCUGAACUCUCAAGUCCUGAUUUAUUCACACUCUGAAAUACUGACUCACAUCAAUUUGAAGCACAAAGCCACGAUCAGAUGUUAGAUCUCAUUCUCUAGACCAGUACCUUGCAAACCUGAAAUUUGCUUGUUGUUGGUGUUGAGGUUGACCGUAAUCAGCAUCAAGUCUGACACAGCUUCUGGCUACCAAUUUUUGGUGUCUGGGCUUCCUGAUUGAGUUAAAGUUUCAGGAUUCUGAUUCAAAAUUUUGGUCCUAUGCAUGUAAAAAGUCAAAAUUUCAAUUUAAUUAUUAAAUGUCAGUUUCUUCCCGUGGGGCAUUAUCUCAAAUGCUGAUGGUUGUGGUGGGCUGGGAUUUUGCCUGGAUCUUACAAUUAGAUCUUGCCAAAAAGAAAAAGAGAAUGAAAAUAAUUAACUUUCAUUUUGAAAAUCAGAGACUUCCUGGAAAAGCAGUCAAGUCCAGCAAUAUUUAUCCUUUUUGCUUUUUCAUCCUAUUAAUUGCAUUAGUAUAUCUAUCAUGUUGCAUUCUAUCGUAAUUUUGUGGGUGAUUUGAUAAACUCCGUUGGAUUAAAAUGCUCUGAGGUUAAUCUUAUUUGUUCAUUUGUUUUAUUGUUGGCUACACGGCAUGUUUACUUAUUCUUCUUUGGAUCUCAUCGUUCUUUUGCCAAUGCUUAAUAAUUCUAGUUGAACUCUGGAAAAGUGGUUGCGGUGGGUCCUGGAGCUAGGGAUCAAGAUGGAAAGCUUAUUCCUGUUACUGUAAAGGAAGGAGACACUGUUCUUUUGCCCAAUUAUGGAGGCACUGAAGUGAAACUUGGUGAUAAAGAGUGAGUCUUACCGUGUCAAAUCCUUAUUCAUUGUGGUUUGAGUGUCUAAUAGUUGUGGAUUUUCUUUCUGAUAUUUUGCAUUUGUUUGGUAGAGUGGUAAUUCUUUGAUAAUCCAUCUUUUCAUUUUCUCAUGUAGCAUAUUUAUUUUGUCGUCAUCCAUCAUGAACAACAUUAAAUGUCUUUUUUUCUCAUGUAUACUAUGGUCCUUGUUCAUAUAUGACUUAUUUAUCUUGUGAAAUGUAUAUGACAAACUGAAUAGUGCCUAGCAAGUGGCGUAAUGAUUGGAAGUAGAUCAAGGUAGUGAUUCUACAGAACUUAUUUCGGAGAACAGGGUCGCGUCUCUACUUUAUUGCAUUCUGUGGCCAUUACUAAAAUUACUGAUGUCAUGAGUUGAGUGAGUUGGGAUGCCAUAAUAUAUAUUUAGUGGAGGUGUUUCGCUUUCUUUAAAUUUUUUUGAAUCUCGACUACUUUUGUCACCUACAGUUAUGAUUCCUGCAAAAAGCUUAGACUGCUUUCCUUUUUCUUGUUCACAAACACUUGCUGUGGGAAGCAGUGCCAAACACAGAUUUAUUUGUCCCAUUAAUUUGUUGAGGUUGCUAAUGUCAACCACAGCAUAAUCUUACAUAUUAUUAUCUCAUUGUUGUUAUUUACUUUUUCAGUUAUCAUCUGUACCGAGAUGAGGAUGUUCUAGGAACUCUCCACGACUGAUGUGAUGCAUAAUGUUUCCGUUGCAUGAGAUGUUACUGUUGGUUUCCUGGCAUGCCAAUUAAAACUUGUACCAACCUUACUUGUCUUUUGUAUUUCCAAGGGAAUGAGGAUGGAUAUUAAUUUGCUGAGGAUAAUGAAAAACUGAAAGCAUUCUUAUCCUUCCAUUUGUUCAGCAUCAUUAUAGUCAAUGCCCCAUUAUAUCAUGUUUCAAGUUAAGCAUGAAUGCAAUGGAACGUUUCCACAUAUUUUGACUUUUUUGGGUUGAAGAUUUAAAGGCCUGGAAAUUAAGGUUUUCUAUGGUUAAAACCUUCAAAAUUUCCUCAAUUUAUUCCUGAGGUGCUCUUGGGCCUGCCAACAUAAAUAAGACAAUUUCUUUCUUUCCAAUGGCUACC